rnacentral:rRNA from 1 species
UACGAAGGGGGCGAGCGUUGUUCGGAUUUACUGGGCGUAAAGGGCGCGCAGGCGGCUCAUUUUGUCAGGCGUGAAAGCCCCGGGCUUAACCUGGGAACUGCGUUUGAUACGGAUGGGCUAGAGUUCUGGAGAGGAGAGUGGAAUUCCCAGUGUAGAGGUGAAAUUCGUAGAUAUUGGGAAGAACACCGGUGGCGAAGGCGGCUCUCUGGACCGAGACUGACGCUGAGGCGCGAAAGCGUGGGGAGCAAACAGG